AUGAAACAAUUAGGCUAUAUUUUAUUUACUGACAACAACAGGAGACAUGAAUAAACAAGUAAAAUAAUAAAUAAAAGUAACCGUUACAAUAAAUAAAAUACAAGUCAACAACACAUGAAACAAAACUUUAUUCAGACAUUGUUCUGUUUUUGAAUGUUUACAGACGGUGAUCCCACAUCCGUCCAUCACAUCCCUCACUGCUGCAGUCAGACUGAAUCUGAUCAUGAUGAGAGAGGGACAUCGAGUCCUUGUCUGAGUGCAUAGAGAGGAUGAGGAAGACCAUGAUGAAGACCCUGAACCACACAACCCUGAACAAGAGCAGGAGAACAUGUGCGGGACGAUCUGACUGCUGCUGUGUCUGCUCCAAACAUUUGUGUCUGCUCACCAUGAACAUGACUCCCUUGAACUGGACUGGUCAGCAGAAGGUUGCUGGAUCAAUCUCCACCGGUGUGUCUUUACUCCAGGUUCUCCAGAGGGAUUGAGUUCAGCACUAUGCUCUUGCUGGCUCUGGGGUCACUGAAGAUGAAGAGACCACAGCAACAUCUGGUCCUGAUGAGAAACAAGAGGAGAUGCAGUGAUUCAUGUGCAUUUCACCCAUGGCACUCCAUCUUCUCCAUCCUCAGUGCACACAGCUGUCUGCAGACAUUUCAGAUCCUGCAAAGAUGCAAAAACACAAAACAAAAGCAGUCAUUUUAACAGCACAGUGUCACUUCAUUUGUGUAUUAGAAGUAACAGAAUGAUCUUACUUUAGAUUUUGGUUUCAGGUUUUUUCCACAGAUGCUGCUGUCACCUGCUCCACCACAAAAGAUCUGCAUCAAAUGUACAGGAUCAAGAACAAGAAUCAGAAAAGUGCUGUAAUAACUGUUUAUUAAUACACUACAACUUAAGAUUUAAAAUAUGUUUUGAUGACUGUAGUGUCCUCAC